ACAAGAUUUGGAAUGCUUUUGUACCGACAAAGCCUUCCGCUCAGUAACUUGAUUAAACUGUAUCAUCCAUGCAUAAUGCAAGAACAAAUCAUUGUGCAAUGCGUCCUGAUCAAAGGGAUUUUCACCUUUGUAGGAACAUGAAUUAUUUUGAUUUAUUAUUCACAUAUUAUGCCAGUGUAGAAUUAGUAGGGCGAAUACACCAAGGGAACAUAAUUCAGCAAGUAAGUACUAUCUCACAUCUUGGGCUGUUGAGGGAUUGAUCUGAUUUCAAGGUGUUGGAAUGAUUGGCUUUGUUGUUCUUUGCAUAAAAUAGAGUAGCAUAGGGAAUAUUGUAGUCUUCGAUGUUGUCCUCCAUCUGAUUUUACAUACAGAUUGCCAAUUCUAGAGUCUUUUCCUAAUGGAUGCGCAACUGCAGAAGUCUGGUAUUGUACAUAAUGUACAUUGUACUGAUAGCAAUGGAGUUAUUCAUAGAAACAUGAAUGAACGGAUUGUAGAAAAGAAUGACGUCUUUACUAACGUAUAAAAAAGAA